rnacentral:rRNA from 1 species
CCCUUAGAUGUUCUGGGCGGCCCGCGCACUACAAUGGCGUUUGCAGCGAGUUUCUGUUUUGAAUUUGUUCGGGUAUUCUUGGAAAUGGCGUCGUGACAGGGAUAAAUCCUUGCAAUUGUUGGUUUUCAACGAGGAAUUCCUCGUAAUCGUGGUUUAUCAGCCCGCGUUGAAUGCGACCCUGCCCUUUGUACACACCGCCCGUCGCUCCUACCGAUGAAUCGCCCCGUGAAGUUUGUGGAGUGGUUGUUUUGUGAACAGUUUUCAAAGCGAAAUGAGCCUCACGAUUUAGAGGAAGGAGAANUCGUANCA